rnacentral:rRNA from 1 species
AGAGUGAACGCUGGCGGUAGGCCUAACACAUGCAAGUCGAACGGCAGCACAGUGGUAGCAAUACCAUGGGUGGCGAGUGGCGGACGGGUGAGGAAUACAUCGGAAUCUACCUUUUCGUGGGGGAUAACGUAGGGAAACUUACGCUAAUACCGCAUACGCCCUUCGGGGGAAAGCCGGGGAUCGCAAGACCUGGCGCGGAUAGAUGAGCCGAUGUCGGAUUAGCUAGUUGGUGAGGUAAUGGCUCACCAAGGCGACGAUCCGUAGCUGGUCUGAGAGGAUGAUCAGCCACACGUGGAACUGAGACACGGUCCAAGACUCCGUACGGGAGCAGCGAGGUGGGAAUAGUGGACAAGUGGGGCACAAGCCUGAUCCAGCCACUACCGCGGUGGGUAGAA